GCAGAGGGCUGCCCAGGGUCAGGCGGAGUUUGCUGCGAAGAGUAGUGGAGUAGACCCGUGGCUAUCACUGGGGCGUGCCACGUGGAGUCUACCGCGGGGAGUAGAGCGGCGUCUGUUGUCGUGACUUGCCAGCGGAUGGGAGAAUCGUGCGGUAUCCAUCGCAGGAAGUGGAGCAGGAUCGUGGCCGUUAUUGUGGCCUGCCAGGGAGUAGUGGAGCUGCAAGGGAUCCAUCGUAGGGAGUGGAGCAGUGCUGUGACCGUUACUGCGGCCUGUCAGGGAGUGAUGGAGCUGCACGGAAUCCACCGCAGAAAGUGGAGCAGGAUCGUGGCCGUUAUUGUGGCCUGGAAGUGCAGAUCCAUCGACUGAAGUUCGGCAGUGGUCG
rnacentral:lncRNA from 1 species